rnacentral:rRNA from 1 species
UACGUAGGGGGCAAGCGUUGCCCGGAUUUAUUGGGCGUAAAGAGCGUGUAGGCGGCCUGGAAGGUCAGCUGUGAAAACUCGAGGCUCAACCUCGAGACGUCGGUUGAAACCACCUGGCUAGAGUCCGGAAGAGGAGAGUGGAAUUCCCGGUGUAGCGGUGAAAUGCGCAGAUAUCGGGAAGAACACCCGUGGCGAAGGCGGCUCUCUGGGACGGUACUGACGCUGAGACGCGAAAGCGUGGGGAGCGAACAGG